rnacentral:rRNA from 1 species
AGUUUCUUGCCCUUCNGGGNUANACCUCCCACCCUUGAGGUACUUACCUUUUGUUGCUUUGGCGGGUGCCGGCUCACGCUGGCCCCGCCGGAGGACCCCAACUCUCUUGUUUAGUGAUGUCUGAGUACUAUAUAAUAGUUAAAACUUUCAACAACGGAUCUCUUGGUUCUGGCAUCGAUGAAGAACGCAGCGAAAUGCGAUAAGUAAUGUGAAUUGCAGAAUUCAGUGAAUCAUCGAAUCUUUGAACGCACAUUGCGCCCCUUGGUAUUCCGAGGGGCAUGCCUGUUCGAGCGUCAUUAUGACCAAAUCAAGCUCUGCUUGAAGUUGGGACCCGCCAGUCGGCGGCCCUUAAACCCAGUGGCGGUGCUGCCAGGCUCUAAGCGUAGUAAUUUUUCCUCGCUAUAGGGUCUUGGGGACGCUUGCCAGAAGCCUUUAUAUACUAGAUUGACCUCGGAUCAGGUAGGGAUACCCGCUGAACUUAAGCAUAUCAAUAAGCGGAGGA